UUGCGCCUGCGAAGGACGCAGCGCGGUCCGCUUAUAGGGUCUUGCAGGCGGCCGGACCGCGUACCCGUCCCGUGAUCGGAAACUUUUCCGAUUCAAACUCCUUC
rnacentral:sRNA from 1 species